rnacentral:lncRNA from 1 species
AUCUGCCAGCCUCAGCCUCCCAAAGUGCUGGGAUUACAGGCGUGAGCCAUCGCUCCUGUCCUAAAGUAUUUUUUCAACAUGUCAGAGUCAGAAAUUUUCACUUACAAAUUUAGCUCUUCCACUUCUCUUGGCGUCCUUUGGGCAUGUGUUCCACAGACUGCACUUGACCUUGUAUCUUGUAAGGAGGUGUUCUUUCUCCAGUUGCCAAGGUUCCAGACCUGCUGAUUUCACUCCUUUGUGUUUCCUACUGGGCUUCUGGAGGAAUUUUAGUUUGUGAUGCCCGCGUAUACGUGUAGUGUCAGAAAUCAAGCAGAGAUAGACUUCCCAGACAAACAAAAGCUGAAGGAGUUCAUCACCACUAGACCUGCUUUAGAAGAAAUGCUAAACAGAGUUGUUCAAGUUCAAAUGAAAAGAUGCUAAUUAGCAACAUGAAAACAUAUGAAGGUAUAAAACUCAUGGGUAAAGGUAAGUAUAAUCAAAUUCAGAAUAUUCAUACUGUAAUGGUGGCAUAUAAAUUUUAAUUCUAGUAUAAAAAUUAAAAGACAAAAGUAUUAUAUAACUAU